AACAGUGAUUGAGCAUCUGGUGGGAAGGCAGGGCCAACCCAGGGGAGCAAUGCACCCGAGUGACUGGAAGUGGUGCAGCCAGGAUCCACCCUUUCCCAGACCUCAUUUCAGGGUUGGCAGUGGAGGUGAGGGCAUCUUUUGCUGGAGAUCCCUAACUACCUGAGGCCUUCUAAAGUUCUGAGAAGGGAACCUUGAGGAAUUUAAUGGCUACUGUUGGAAGAAAGUGAAGAGAAUUUCUGUCUAUGGACUCAGAAAUUUUGAACUACCAUGGAGCAGUGGCCCCUUAACCACAUUCAGACAGAAGCAAGGACUGUCUAUGCUGAUGCCUUAUAUGUCUGACUGUACCACAGACACAGUAAUGAUGACAUUUUUGUAACAGCCAUUCAUUCAGUGUCAACCUAAAUCAUACUGAUUUGUGAAUCAGAACUUUCUGCU